AGGGCAGCUCGUGAGGCUGAAAGACUAAGGGUGGAAAAGAGGAGCACAGAGAGGGGGAGAGAUCAGGGACCCCGAGGGAUGUAGAAGCCGACUUUGGUGGACUGUAGAUCUACAGCUGUUCCUAGUCUAGGUCCAGACUUUCCCGGUGGGAAUCACUGUAGCAACACGUCUGACUUAUAGGAUUCAUAUGGAGGGGGAUAGGAGACCCAGAACUGUAAAUUCAAACCGUGUGUACGUUACUUCUAUGUCUUCAAUUCAAAAGCAUUUAGGGCUUUUCAAAACAGCCCUUUCACUACAGGAAAACUCCCCCACACUCACAAUUUAAAGGAAACAGAUCUUUCAUGUUUACCCUUCCUGUUUCUUGUAGGAGGUCUCGAAAUAAAGCAGAAACUUUGGUAUGUUCUUCUACCUCCUAAGGGAACACACACCUUUCUCUCUGGGGAUUCUCAGAGCUUGUGUCACUGGUGGUCACAGGGAGCUGAACAGGACUCUGUCACUCCCCACUUCUUCAUAAACUGACCCAGGACCAGGGGAGGCCCCAACCCAAACACAGAGACAGCAAAAGAGAUCCUCAUCCAAACCCCAUGGAGCUGACAGUCCACAGGCCAGCUCAGAAAAUGGCAGAGAGGACCAUGAACCAAGAGGUUUUCCCCUCCCAGAUCUGCAGCUGAAUCUGUGGCAGAGCCCUACGAUCCCUGACUAUGGAUACCACCCUCCCCAGGGAGAAAACAGUUCUGCCAAAGCACAAGUCUGGAGUAAAACUGACUUUUGUAACAGCUUUUAUCCUCUCAUUGAUCACAGGAGCAAACCAGGUGCCUCACAGCUACUGCAGGAGUCUGAAUUAGCCACAGAAACACAGGAUGGUUUGGA